AACUUGAUGAUGUGGGCAUUUACGGAGCAGGUCCCUAAAGCGCUCUUAUGUCUCAAAGAAAAGUUCCCCAUCCGUUUGUGUGAAACUUGUGAUUGCCUUUCACAGCU